GUGCUUGCUUUGGCAGCACAUAUACUGAAGUUGGAACAAUACAGAGAAGAUUAGCAUGAUGCCAGUGCAAGGAUGACAUGCAAAUUUGUGAAGUGUUCCAUAAUUUU
rfam:Neotoma lepida isolate 417 scaffold_13132, whole genome shotgun sequence.